AUCAUGACAGGGGAAAGAAAAACAUUUUAAUAUGAUAAAUAAAUGGUUUGGUUUGUUUUGACAAGCAACAUGUCAGGUCAAGUGCUGUGGCUGAGUUGAGGGGUGGGGCUAUGUCGUCAUAAAAUUGCCAGCUGUGCCGUCUACACGGCAAAA